GGAGGGAUCAUUACCGAGUUAUUCAACUCCCAAACCCCCUGUGAACCUUACCACACACGUUGCCUCGGCGGGACCGCCCCGGCGCCCUCGCGGCCCGGACCAAGGCGCCCGCCGGAGGACCACCAGACUCUCCUGUCGCAGUGGCAUUUCUCUCCGAGUCAAACAAGCAAAAUGAAUCAAAACUUUCAACAACGGAUCUCUUGGUUCUGGCAUCGAUGAAGAACGCAGCGAAAUGCGAUAAGUAAUGUGAAUUGCAGAAUUCAGUGAAUCAUCGAAUCUUUGAACGCACAUUGCGCCCGCCAGUACUCUGGCGGGCAUGCCUGUCCGAGCGUCAUUUCAACCCUCGAGCCCGUCUCGGUGUUGGGGGCCCCACGGCCGCGAGGCCGCCCCCGAAAUGCAUUGGCGACCCCGCCGCGGCCUCCCCUGCGCAGUAGCUCCCAGAGAACCUCGCACCGGAAACGCGGAGGCGGUCACGCCGUAAAACAACUCUCCUCCUGGAAGUUGACCUCGGAUCAGGUAGGGAUACCCGCUGAACUUAAGCAUAUCAAUAAGCGGAGGAAAAGAAACCAACAGGGAUUGCCCCAGUAACGGCGAGUGAAGCGGCAACAGCUCAAAUUUGAAAUCUGGCCCCCCCCGCGGGGCCCGAGUUGUAAUUUGCAGAGGAUGCUUUUGGCGCGGCGCCUUCCGAGUUCCCUGGAACGGGACGCCAUAGAGGGUGAGAGCCCCGUCUGGUCGGACGCCCAGCCUCUGUAAAGCUCCUUCGACGAG
rnacentral:rRNA from 1 species